rnacentral:rRNA from 1 species
UACGGGGGGAGCAAGCGUUGUUCGGAAUUACUGGGCGUAAAGCGUGCGCAGGCGGUUAUGUAAGACAGAUGUGAAAUCCCCGGGCUCAACCUGGGAACUGCAUUUGUGACUGCAUAGCUAGAGUACGGUAGAGGGGGAUGGAAUUCCGCGUGUAGCAGUGAAAUGCGUAGAUAUGCGGAGGAACACCGAUGGCGAAGGCAAUCCCCUGGACCUGUACUGACGCUCAUGCACGAAAGCGUGGGGAGCAAACAGGAUUAGAUACCCCGGUAGU